ACAGUGCCUGAGACAGCUCAUCUAAACCUCACUGUAACGCAACACUCUCUCUUCCCAAAGAAAAAGACUCCACUGAGUAGCAGAAUGCUGCCAGUGUCACAGCUAGGGCUACAAUACAGAGCCUAUUUGUAACAUUUUUUAAAUCUCUUUCUGUUCAUACAUUUAGAGAUACAUAAAUACACUCAUAUAGAAAUUCUUCCUUUUUUGAGGGCACUUUUGGCUUUCAUUACCCUGAUGUGACUUCUUCUUCAUUUUGGAAUGAUGGGGAUCUUUCUAGCUUAUGUUGGAUUCAUUUUUUUUUCAGUUAUGUAUGUUCAGCAAGGACUGUCUACCCAAGCAAAGUUCACUGAGUUUCCCCGAAAUGUCACGGCAACUGAAGGGCAGAAUGUGGAGAUGUCUUGUGCUUUCCAAAGUGGCUCCACUUCAGUGUACCUUGAAAUCCAGUGGUGGUUUCUGCGGGCUGCUGAGGACCAAGAGGUUGGAGCUGAGGUGACAGGAACUCAGGUGGAGCUCCUGCCCGAACGGGACCUGGAGAGCGACGGCACGAAGAUAAGCACAGUGAAAGUACAAGGGAAUGACAUCUCCCACAAGCUGCAGAUUUCAAAAGUAAGGAAAAAAGAUGAAGGCUUGUAUGAGUGCAGGGUGACCGAUGCCAACUAUGGAGACCUUCAGGAAUACAAGGCCCAGGCAUAUCUCAAAGUCAAUGCUAACAGCCACUCUCGGCGAAUGCAGGCCUUUGAGGCAUCUCCAAUGUGGUUGCAAGACAUGAAACCUCGCAAAAACAUCUCAGCAGCUGUUCCAAGUAGCAUCCAUAACCCUGCCAAUCAACGUGUGCGUGCCACCUCCAGCCCUGAAGCAGCAGCCAAAAUCCCCAAACAGAGUCCACAAUCAGGUUAGCAUUGAAGAUUACAAUUUCCUAUCUGCAGGAUGGCAACAAGCAUAUGCAGUGGCAAAAAACAAACAAACAAACAAACAAAAAAACACAAAAAAACAGUUCUAAACAGUCACGACUACCUCUGAUCAUCCAAAAGAAUAAAAUCAUCUGAGGAGCUUUCAAAGAAAAAUCAUCUGGGCAGAUGGCACAAGAUCAGCUGAUGAACCCACACAUCAAGUAUCUACUGUAGAUGAAGCAGCUAUACCUAAGAACGAAAACUAUAUAGGUAAUCAAGGUCUCAACAAAGCCAGCCAACCACUGGGAAGAUUUCAUUCUGUACUCACUAUAAUCAUUCCAGAGAAAGACAGGUGUCCAAUGAGACAGAAUCAACAAAAAACAUAUUUGAAGAGAUUCAUAGCAAAUCAAACAAAAAAUAUAGCAUAAUAUAUCUGAAGAAAAUGUAUUAUAUACUCUGAAGAUAAUAAAAUGACAUCACAUGUUUUUGUUGUGAUGCUGAGAAGUGCUAAGUGCAGAUUUGGGCUCAUUACUGAUCAGCACCAUUUCCAGAAUGUAGCUAUUAGUUAGAGCUCUAACUCACGAUGGAGCUGGGAUGGCUAAAGUCACCAUACCCUAUGUAACUGUAUGAAUAAUUGAUAUACAUAACAAAAUGCAAAGUAAUACUGGACAUUUGUAAUGGCUAUACUAAAAUCUACAAAUCCAGUAGAAAAAGGUUGUGGUUUUUUUGUUGUUGUUGUUGUUUGUUUUGUUUUGUUUUGUUUUUUUUAAGCUUGUCAGAAUGCAAGUAAAUCUUCCUUUUUCAGGAUUGAAGAUAUCAAACAACCACCAGUGGUGAGGAAUAAAAUAACCUCUAGACAUCUUAUUCCAUGAAUAUUUUUCCAUAAGAUUUAUUUUGCCAUUUUGCCUAUCUUUGAGAAACUGUAUAGAUAUGAAUACUACUGAACACUGAAUAAAGAACUGGACAGAAUCUAUUAUGUAAUAAAGAAAUGAAGAGUGCAGAAAUACCAGAGGUUUUGAACUGUCAAUAUAAGUAGGAGCAUGGACAUGGCAAUUACUGUAAAGCUGUAUGAAUCAUAAUUCUAAACUUUCCUAAAAGUAGUGUUGUUUCAAGCAUUUCAUUUUUUUCACAGAAUAAUUCCUACAACCCAAGAAGUAUCUUCUAAAUAACUGUGAAAAAAUGGCCUUAUCUGAAGUACAUUAUAAGCUUUAAAAGGAAGAAUUGGUGAGCUUAAAAUAAUUAUGAACAAUUUAUUGUCAACAGUUUAUAGUGGGAAGGAAAGUAGAGCUAGUGGCUACUUCAAGAUGUCACAAGUAGAGCAUUAGUACAGGCAAUUUGAGGCAAUGUAGCUUCUUUUGAAUUUUAAAUUGAUAAAAUAAUUUAAUGAGGUUGAUAGAUGUAUUUUGAUUUGACUGGAAAUACAAACAAAUAAUCAUCACAUGGCAAUAAAAUGUGGAAAUGACAUUUCUCUCAUCACAGACAAAGUUAUUAGGCCAUACUGCUAAAUACACAGUACUCUAUCUAGGAAAACCAUACCUUGUAUUCACCUUAAAUUAUUUAAUCUCUCUACUCACCCCAUAUUUUUACAGAAAUAACCAGUUGAGACUAAAUCUUAACUCAGUCACAAUAAUCUUGCUGUUAAUUCUCUUGAGCAGGAGGCAAAGGGCCGUGUAUGAAAAUGGGGGAACAUAGAAAUUAAUGCAUAAAGUCUAAGUAAACUCUGACUGACAUAUAAAUUAUCAUCUCUUCCUUGCAGAACGGAAGGAAACGUGGAAGCACACUUUGCCUUUUGGCAAUCCAAGCUUCUUAUCUUUCCUUUUUUCCCCUUCAUUUUAUUUUCUUUUUUUCUUCCCAUUCAUCUAUUGCAAAGUAACAUAUAAAUAUGAUUUGCUCAAUUAUUAAUCAUGUAUCAUUCAAGUCUAGCAAGCAGCUUGAGAAAUAAAAAUGCACAGAAGACUUAGAAUUAAAUCCCACUUCAGGAGUUUUACCUAAAAAUAGCCAGUUCCUGUAUCAGCCACAUCCUGUUCAUUAUAUCACCGAAGUACCCGACUGGAAUUCUAAAUAUUCACAAUCCAUAAGACACACUCACUUUAAAAAAUAGUAAUAAUUAUUGAAUGAUUUGAUAUGACCCCACUCAAAUUCAUCUGUUUUCCCCUGCCGCACAAUUACAAAGAGAGAAAGAUUGUGCUGUCAAAAGUGUAUGUAAAGACAUUCAAAUGGAAGGAUUUGUCAGGUCAGAUUACAUAAAGAAGACAAAAAUGAUCUUAUUGAGAAGGCCUGAUUAGAUUUCAUUAAAACACAAAGUACCCUAUAAAAAAAGAUCCACGUAAAUUUGAAAAUCUGCAAAUUCUGAAAAUACUGGUUGAUUCUGGGAGAGAGGAAAUAAAGGUGGGAGAACCACACUCCUAGGUUUAUUUCUUCUUCCAUAAGAUCUUCUCACAAAAGGAGGCCUUGAAUCCCUUUCUCCAAGACUGAGUGCAAAUUGCAAGAUUUUGGUAUAGUAAGGAUGGUUUCUGCAGGAAGAGGGGGGGGGCUGCCCCAUGCCAGACAGAAUUGAUUCCGGCAAGCUCUUAAAUAGACCCACUUCUGGCCAAAGCUGAGUCCAUGAGAAAACAUGUUAUUAAGAAAGGUCAGAAAAUGCUGAUAAGAAAGAGCUCACAAAUUCUCAGUUGUAGAGUGCAUGAUCUGACGUGCAACUGAUUUUUUACAUUUAAGAAAGUCUUUCUGUCUGUGACAAAAGGCUUUUUGCAAAUGUUCUUGAGUGUAGGAUUAGAUCUCAGAGGCAAGUUACUCAAAAACAUAUAUCACGUGUGAUAUACUUUCUAAAAUGUGUCUUCCUUCCUGGUUCAUUACAGGUUAAAGUGAAAACCAAAAUGGUACUGCUUAAGUGGUCCAGGAUUUUGAGUUUAAGUAAAAUUGCAUAAUGAUCUAAUUCCCAUCUGAUGAACAGUAACAUCCUCUUUGGUCAGUCUAAGAGUUUGGGGCACACACCUCCAAGCCACACAAAAAGAAGUUUAGCCUUCUUGUUUUCUUCCAUUCAGUCAAAACCUCUUCGGAAAAAAAUAAUCCGUUUUUCCUUGCUUCAAUGUCUUUAAGAUUUCUUGAGUGAGUUGCUGAUGUUUAAAUGUAUAGAAAAGAAAAGACCUAGCUAAUAGAGGCUGAUAGAGAUUUGUCAACAAAAUGGUCAUAUAUGAAAUGCAGUCUUCAUAAGCGACAAUCACAAAAGUACACAAUCAACAGUCAUCCACAAAUUAUUGCUAUGUUCAUGGUUGACUACUUCAAGGGAACUAGUGGUUCUCGGAUCACUGCUUGUCACUGACUUGAUAAGAAUGAUUGUUCUUUUCUAUUUUCUUCCUUGUUUUGCUUUUCUGUAGUGUGGUUUGUUAAUGGGUCCUCUGAAAGCUUAUUAAUUCAUGCAUUUAUUUUCUAUUGCAGUCCCAUAGGUCUCAUGGGAAUAAAAUCAAAAGUGAAGAAGAAGCUUUUAUGUGUCACUCAACUAGAAGUAUUUUUCCCAAGAUGGUAAUGUGUAAGAUUGCUUAGCAUACAAAGAUGAGGGUGAGAAAAAAAGACAACGUCAAGUCAGAGAGAGGAAUUAGUAUUAUUUUUCUUAGAACAUCACCUUCUAAAAUUGAGAGGGUAGCAACAUUACUGGUGUCUGGAAGUCUUCAAGGGCAAAGAUUUGAAUAGCAGGGAAUUUCAGAGUUAGCUAGACGCUGGAGUAUUUUGUGAAGGAAAAAUCAAUGUAACAGAAUCCCUUCAUUUGUUAUUAUGAGAAGAAAGAUGAGAAUAAUGAUGCUUCAACUAUUUCAAAUAAUAAUAUGAUUAAAUUAAAUAGUUACUUAACAGAAAAUAUACUGCUAGCUGAGAAACAACACUUAAAAGAAAUAGGAAACUGGUUACAUUUAGAAUUUAGCCUUCAAAAUACAAAUUCCAACAUCUUCUGGUGACUAUAUACAUGGACCACAAUUUUUUCUCAGUUAGGUGAGGGACUUCAGAGUUAAAUUCUCAGAAUCUGUUUUGAAACUGAUUUUGUGGAUUCAAAUGGCAGGUAUCAUGAAUUAUCCCCUAUACUGCUAUAUCAUGAUGUUCAACUAUUCUUAGGAGCCAUGCUGAGCUGUGAUAGCAUUAAAAAGCAUGGAUGAAAUAACUAAAACAGACUCAUACAGCUGAAGGUGAAAAAGUACUAAAAAGAAACGUAGCACCUGCUAAAACAAAUGGGAAACAAGAAUAAAUCUUGGUAGUUGUUUAGUGAAGGGAAAAUAAAGUGGAAGAUAAAGAAGAUUCUCAUAGGAAUAAAUGUAUUAAAAUGUUUUGGAAGAAAAUAAAAAUAUUGAAUAAAUCUGCUCAACAGUUAACUGUCUUUGCCCUUAGAUCUGAGUCUAAACUACUGCAGUGAUUCUGGUUACAGUAUGUGACAGAUGAAGAAAACAGAACAGAGACAAAAAGGAAAAAAUUUGCAUGGAAUGGUUUUCAUUGAAGCAAGAGCAGAUGCAAAAGACCUUGCCCAAACUGAUGUGGAUCUUUAAAUUUCGUAUAGAUUGAUUGGAAGAUUGAAAAAGUUCAUGGAAUAUAAAUCCAUGCAGACACAUGUAGAGUCAGGAGAUUUCUAAAGUGAAAGUAAGAGGAGGCUGAAAUUAGUAUUAGGCGGAAUUAGGCAUACAGGCAUAUAUAUAAAUAGGCAGUAUUAGGUCAUAAAUUUAUUUUACUCUUCCUUUUUUCAAUGCAUUCUAUUUUGGAUGAUUAUGGAUACAGCACCCAUCUUGAUCUUCAGCUUGAGCUUCAACAGGUUAGAAAAAUGUAGUAAGUUCUUUAAGUGCUGUCACUCGCUGAAGUCUCUCAGUAAAACUGUAGAUGAAUCUCCAAAACUAAUUGACUAUUUGAAAUCAGUGAACUUAAUAUAUUCUGAAUAACUACCACAGAAGUUCUUAAGAUUGUUAUUUUAUAGUCUGAAAACUUUCCUUCUAUUUCUAUGAGAUUUGAAAGGGAGAUUUAUUCAUUUAUUGAAUUACUGAAGCACCUCAAACUUCUGGCCUUCUGCCUGUCUCUUUUGGCAAAGUAUUCCACCUCGCUUUUUCCUACCACUCUCAGCUUCUUGGAGAUUUUUUCUUAUAUGCAUUGAUUUUUACAGUCACACUGAAGUCACAUUCUGUUUCACUUUUUUUUUCUUCUUUUUUUUCUUUUUCUCCCUCUUUGCAAUACUUUUCCAAUGAAGCCUUAAUUUGUGAAGAUUUUUUUUUUUUUCCUGGAAUUCAGAUUCUCUUUUAAAUCCUAUGCCUUUCAUUAUUUAGGGUCACUUCCAGAAUCAUUUAAUGCAGCUGAGAUAAGAAAUUUAUCAAUGUCUACACAGAUAGCAAUACAUAAACAAGUAUUUUAAAGUUUUGCUGAUACCUGGAGAAUAUUUACAGAUUAAUAAAAAACAGCAAUCGACAAAACAAACAAACAAACAAGAGCACUAAAUAACCAUUGAAAUUACCAAUGAAACAUUUCCCUCCUCCCAUUUUAAUAUUAAAAUUUUAUCUCCAAACUGUUCAUGUAGACAUAGUCAUAAUUUUCCACUGUUAUGCACAGAGAAGCAACAAUAAUUCAAUAAUUUUAAGACAAGUCUAUCAACUUCUCAACUUAAUUUCUCACAUGGAUAUUUUUUCUCUAUGUAAUUUUUUUUCUGUAUUUUGACAUGAUGAAGUAACACAAAGCUUUCCGUUGAAUAAAAUCAUGAACCAUUAAAUGUUUUUGGUUGUUUUCCAAGGUGGUGAAUUUGACUUUAGUAUUCAAUUUGGCUAUUCUGCACUUUGUCGUUGCCAAUAUAUCACUUCUUUAUUUUUCUUUCCUGAUAGAGUUUCCUAUUAAUAAUAGUGACAGCUUACAUUUAUAUAGUCCUUCCUCUUAAGCUGUCCUAAUGCACUUUUAAAACUAUAAUUUGAAUAACUUUAUCCUCCAUUGAAUUUAAUCCACAUCUCAACUGGAAAAGGGUAACUAUUUAGUUAUUCUGCAACAACUUCUCAGUAGUUCAAAGUAGAAGAGAUCAAAGAGAAAAUAUAUGAAUAAGCUCUCAGAUAUAUGCAAUCUAACUAGCUAAAUUAAGAGGUCUCUACUCUGACUUUAUUUUAACAAAAGAGACCAAGGAUAUUUAUUAAUCAUAAGAAGCCAGAAAGGAUUGUUUUAUUUGACAUUUUAAUUCUUUGGUUUGCUAUUCCUUUGGUUUACCAUUCCUUAAACAAAUCAUUGUUUUAAAUUUACACUUGUUCAUAAAAUUUACCACUUGUUCAUAAGACAGCAUACUUAUAUCCUGCUUAGGUUAUAAAUUUAUUAUGGCGUUAAGAGAUUAUCUUGUGUUAACUUUGAAAAUACUGACUAAAUGUGGCAUCAAUGGCUGCCAGCACUGGUUUCAAAAACAGCAGUAUUUUCAUCAUUCAGCAUUACAGUGGCAGUCACAGUUGGUUUCCAUCAACAAUUCCCUUAUUCUAGGAUCAGUAUACUUUGAUAAUCAGAAAACUUUGAUUUAAUGCUAAAUUAGCCUUGACUCACACAGUGCCUAUCUGUGUAAUAGUUUAAAGUUACAUCAUCUUCACUGAAAGCACUAUGUAUUGUGGAAACUCAGAAUUACCUAUUAGCUUUCUUAAUUCUAAUUGGGAAAGAUUUCAAAUGAGUUCUAAAACUAGCAUACCUGUGACAAAACUCAGUGAUAUUUGCCACCUGAAAAGGCACCUAUCUUAAACACAAGCUCAUACAUACAAUAAUGCUAAAAUGUUGGUUUCUUAAAAUUAGUUAGUAUUUCGUCCUCAAAAGAAGAGAAAAUAUAUUACUUGAAAAAACAGCAUACAGAAAAGUUGCAGUAAAUAAUUUAUUUCUUUAUUCUUUAUGCAAUACUGUAUCAUAAAUAUCAUCUAUCCAUUACUUGCUCUAAAUUUUUCUUUUAUACCCUCAACUAAAUACCUAUUAUAGCUAGACUAGAAAUGAUUCAAUGAACAGAGUUGCACUAUAUGGCCAAGGCUUUUCCCAGUCUUUAUAUUCUCUACACAAAUUUGAUAGCUCAAUGAUCUCUUUCUGCAGUGUUCUUUUUCAUUUAAAACUGGCUUACCUCAUUAGGGGCUUUUAGGAGCAUAUUAGACAGUUUUCAGAAAGGUUAUUGUGCAAAUCAUUUUGCACUACAGGAAAGAACACAUUGAUUCUCAAGGUCUCUUCAUCGUACUUGCUUGGCUUUUACAAAAGUUAACAAUGAAGUAAAAUAUAAAACAUAACUUGGACAAUUUAGAGCAUGUGCUUGUGCCAUGUCAUGCCAGUGUAAGCUUUUACAAUCGAUUGCAAAUUAUAGCAUUUGGAUGUUGUGUUGAGGGACAUGGUUUAGCGAGAACCACUGGUGAAGGGUGAACGAGUGGUUGGACUGGAUGAUCCUGUGGGUCUUUUCCAACCUUAGCGAUUCUAUGAUUCUAUGAUUCUAUAUAGGAUUAAGGGAAAGUGUAGUGAUUAUUCUAAUCCAUAUUCUUACAUUCUUUUAUAGUUGUUAUCAUUCUAGCAUAAAUUGUCAAAGAGGUGAUGAUUAUACAUAUUGCGAGUGUUUUUCAAACCUAUUUGGACAUAUAUGCACAUUAUAGAGUAUCAGAUGGCAAUGGAUAAUCUAAGUUGUUAAAUGUAUUUUGAAAGCUAUGUUUACAGACCAGAUAGCUGCUUGGUGAUAUGUUAAAGCACAGACAUCUGGAUCAUUAUAGCAUCUGUAUGAACAAAAAACAUGUUGUUGAUUUCACAGUCAUUUUUGACCUCUGAAUAAUUUCAGUCUGGCUGUGCAAGAAUUCCAUUUGAAGCAGACUACAGUACUAUAACCACGUCAAUUAUUGUCGGCCAUGAAUGUAUGGCUGCUGAAUAAGUGAGUAACUCCUUCCAGAACUGGUAUUUAGUUCUGGCAUCUGUUUUCCUUGGCUUCUUUUUAUGCUGACUCUGCCAGCUUCUUAAAUUACUUCUCUUUUCUCCUCUGACACUUUUCCUUUGCUUUUAAAUUUUCCUUAGCUAGCAACAUACUAACCUGACUGCAUUUUGUGGUCUCAUUUUUCAAAUUCAGUUUGAAAUCCAUCCUAUAAUUCCAAUACGACUGUUUCAAGUUUCAGCAUAUUGCUUAAUGUUAGUUCCCCACUGUCAUAGCUCCAGGAAGACAGAGCAGUGAAAAUAAACUUGGAGAGGUCUGAAUUCAUUGCAAGAGGUGAAAAACCUGGGAUAACAGAGACAUUUUCCUUGCAAGUACAAAUUCCUUAAACACAGUUAACAAACAAAAAAAAAAAGUUAAGACACCAAAAAAGACAUUAAAAACCUGAAGUUUAACAGCACUAGAAGAACUGCAAAGGUAUAAAAAAAAAUAUUUUAAAUGAUAUUCCUGUCUCUAUGCUCUGGACAGCCUGGUCCAGUGGUUGGUGACUCUGCACAUAGCAUGGGGGUUGAAACUAGAUCAUUAUGGUCCUUUACAAUCCAGGUCAUUCUAUGAUUCUAUGAUUCUCUAAAAAUGAAAACAGGUUUCCAAUAGGUUUUCAUUGCCACAUCAGCUCCUUCUCUUUUAAUUGAAAGAAAGCAUAUUUCACCUGUAUAUACUGUAAGAACCUAAAGAGCUAACAAACUCAAGUACCUUAGAAUCUACAGGCAGCACUGAAUCUAUCACACAGUAAAAUAAGAGAUUACAAAACCCAUAACACUGCGUGAUACUGCUUAAAACUACAUAGAAUCUAGCAACCUCCCAUGAAACAGAUCCAGCUUCAGGUACAGCAGUUUAUGAUGUAAAUGCACUGAUAAUGGCCAAGAUCAGAGACAAAAUAUGGGUUUAUAGGAUCUCCAGUGUUAACUUCAAGGGGCAUUCUUAAUGUUAAUCUAGAACUCUAAUUGGGUUGUCUGUCCAAAAGGAAAAAAAAAAAAAAAAAAGCCAAAAAUUCAUGUUCAAAUAACCUAUCCACUUAAGGUCAUUAAAAUGACUAAAAUUGAGACACUGUAUAGAACAACUACUAUCAUAUGACAACUGUAUUCACUGUUCCCUUCAGUAGUAUACUAUGCAAAUAUGUAUAUAUAUAUAACAUACAAUGUAAACAGAAAGCAUCCUAAAUGAAGACCUUGGAAAUAGAAAAUGGAAGAACAAGAACAAGUAGUAACAAUGACCAUUAUGAUUAAUAUUUUUUUAGGCAGAUGUACAUGCAGGUGCAGAUGUAAUUAGAAGCUAAUUUUUUGGAUAGGCUGAGGAACUGCAUUCUGUAAUAAUAAGAUAGAACAGAAGCUCUUGAGGUAGCUGGUUUGUUAGAUUCCUGGAUAAUAAUUAUUUCAAAGCUGUUCAGAUACUGAUGCCAUCACUUUUGGCAAGAAAAUGAGGAUUUUCACAAAAGGAACUAUUAAGGUACUAAGAGGUGAUUCAAAUUACCUAUUUUAUUGCUACCUAUUUAGCAUUAAUUCAACAAUGGUCACAAAGCAAUGUAUUUAAGACUCUUGAAAAAGUGCUGAGGUUCUUGUGGAUUCUUUUAGGAUAUGUAGGCAAAAAUUAAAGGAAGCCGUAAGCUUUCAAGUUUUUUUAAAGACUUCAGAAGAUGGUUCCCUCCUCAUUUCAGUGAAUGUCUGUCCUCUGGAAUCUUCUUUUAUUCACUGAAAGAAAAGCCAAAAAUUUCAAAAUUGCCAUUGAUAUAAAGAGUAUAUUUUUCUGUCUUUAUCUGUAGUAUUAAUACAAUUUCAUUUCAUCAACACUUUCCUCUGAUUUUUACAGGUCCCUUCUAGUUUAUAGUAGAUUACCAAAUCUUGGAGUGCAAGGCUGUUGAGCCAGUUACAUCUUCUACUGGGUUCCUCCUCUACUUUUCCACAUGAAUAUGAGAGAUUUUUCAGUGCUCCAAUAUUUUCUAAUCCUAUGCUUCUUUCUCUUAUUUAAAUAUGAACUUUGUUAGCUUACAAGCGGACAUGAUAUUUGAAACUCCAAGUCAUAAUUCACUUUCAGAUUUGAAAGAGAAAUAACAAAGUUGACUUAGGGAAUUCCAUCAAAAUCCUGCAAUCCAACUUGUGUAUUCUGCAUGUAGUAAAUAUAUGCUUUCCCCUUCUGUCUUUUCCCAAGUGAAAUUAAGUUGUACUCUUAACGUGACAACAGUUCUUUGUGUAUCUCUCUGUUGUACUUCAUCUUUGAAAACUAUGGCCAUAAAUUCCAAUAUUUCAUAGAAAAUUUAAUGAUCAUUAUGAUAUACUUCUAGAGAGAAGUGGAGUAGAAAAGGUUGGUAAAAAAGGAGAAUCAAACAGGCACAUAGGUCAUUUGGCCUCACAGGCUUAAGAAUUUUCUUUCCUCUGCCAAGACAGCACUUGAAUACAAUAAAGUUAAUCCCUUGCAGCAUAUCUAAGCAACACUUCCCAGACGUUUUAUGUGCCUUUUAAUAGAAACGUAAAGAAGCAUAUCAUUAUUUCUUACUCUCUGAAUAAUAUCAUUAUUUCUUACUCUCUGUAUUACUGAAUAAGUAAUUCAUAGACUGUUACUGAUUGUGAGCAAUGUUACUAAUAAUUUAAAUGGCAUCAAGAUAUUCAUUUUAUUUUCUAACACCACCAAUUCUUAUUUUUGCUACUGGAUAUCAGAUUAUAGAAUAUGAAACAGGUAAAAAUAAUAUGCAGGGAAUUCUCUUUGAGAAGGAUUCAGAAGAGUAUUCCUAAAAGAAAUAACUUUGAAUUCAGGCAUGAACUGUUAUCUUCAAAUGUUUCUUUUCCACUUUACCUAUAUUUUCACUAAACUACGUACUGAAAUAAAAUUGUCAUUUAAUGGA